AAGUCGUAACAAGGUAGCCGUACCGGAAGGUGCGGCUGGAUCAUAAGGAGCACCACGAAGAGCACUCCAAUUGGUGGGGUGCGAGCCGUGAGGGGUCAUCGUCUGUAGUGGACGAAGACCGGGUGCACGACAACAAGCUAAGCCAGACACACUAUUGGGUCCUGAGGCAACACCCUCGGGUGCUGUCCCCCCAUCUUGGUGGUGGGGUGUGGUGUUUGAGAAUUGGAUAGUGGUUGCGAGCAUCAAAAUGUAUGUGUUGUCGUUCGCGGCAACGUGUUCUUUUUGUGC
rnacentral:misc_RNA from 1 species